AUUGAACGCUGGCGGCAUGCCUUACACACGCAAGUCGAACGGCAGCACGGGAGCAAUCCUGGUGGCGAGUGGCGAACGGGUGAGUAAUAUAUCGGAACGUGCCCAGUAAUGGGGGAUAGCCCGGCGAAAGCCGGAUUAAUACCGCAUACGACCUACGGGUGAAAGCAGGGGAUCGCAAGACCUUGCGUUAUUGGAGCGGCCGAUAUCAGAUUAGCUAGUUGGUGGGGUAAAAGCCUACCAAGGCGACGAUCUGUAGCUGGUCUGAGAGGACGACCGGCAACACUGGGACUGAGAAACGGCCCAGACUCCGACGGGAGGAAGCAGUGGGGAAUUUUGGACAAUGGGCGCAAGCCUGAUUCAGCCAUGCCGCGUGUGGGAAGAAGGCCUUCGGGUUGUAAACCACUUUUGUCAGGGAAGAAACGCUCUGGGCUAAUACCCUGGGGUAAUGACGGUACCUGAAGAAUAAGCACCGGCUAACUACGUGCCAGCCGCCGCAGUAACAC
rnacentral:rRNA from 1 species